AGCAAGCUGGGUGGCCGCGGGCGCAGUCAUGCGCGCGAGGAAAGUCCGAGCUCCACAGGGCAGGGUGCCGGGUAACCCCCGGUGAAGGCGACUUCAAGGAAAGUGCAACAGAAAACAACCGCGGGGCCUGGCCCCGUAAGGGUGAAAGGGCGAGGUAAGAGCUCACCGGCGCUCUGGCGACUGAGCGCGCAUCUGUAAACCCCACCUGGUGCAAGAUUGAGGGGAUCGCGGGCGGCCCGUCCCAUUCCCCGGUAAUCGCUUGAGCCUGUUGGCAACUUCAGGCCUAGACAGAUGGCCACACACGACAGAACUCGGCUUAUAGGCUUGCCU
rnacentral:RNase_P_RNA from 1 species